GAAGAAGAGAAGAAGGUGUUAGCGUCAAAAUCAGAAAAUUUUCCGUUCAAGUUCGAAUUCGAUCAAAUUGUUGACUAAAUAGGUUAUUGAUUAAACAAGCAAGUAGCCAAGGGAAGGAUCCACUUAGAUACAACACUCUAUUACAAGAGUUCUAGCUGCCAUGGCUGAAUGGGAUGAAUGGAUAAUGAAAUAUGAAAGCGACUGUGUUGAUUGGAAUCCAGAACCUACCUCUACAUCUCGAAUCCAGAAAUUAAAAGAGGGGGUACGAGAUAUCGUCAUUGGAGGUACAUCUGCAGGUUCCAAGAAUUCCACCAAACAACCUAUAUCUCCUACAUCUCAAAUCCAGAAACAACCGACAGAUGAAUGGGUAGAUGAAUGGAUCAGACGAUAUGAAGACCUUAGUCGUGGAGGUACAUAUGCAGGUUCCACCAGAAAACCUGUAUGUCCAACAUCUCAAAUCCAGAAACAAUCAAUUGAUUUAAAGGUAUCACUUCAGAUGUUUCUCCAAGAAGCAACAAGUUUUGCAGAUCAGUGGACGGACGUCAACAGAAAGUAUGAUGACAGGAGGUCAUUCCCUAGGUUUCUAAGGAAAUCACAAAUGUUUGGGAUGGAUUGGCACAAGUAUAUGCCUGAGGACAGUGAGAUCAAUGUUAGUAACCAACCAAAUAGAUGGUCGUCUCUUCAGGCGCUGUCGAAUAAUGUGGUGCAUUUACGUUCAAAGUGAACUUCAGAUCCAAACUGGGUUAUGGCAGAUAAAUACUACGACAAAAGCUUGUCAUUGAUGCAACUUUUGCAUAAGAUUUAUUUAGAAUCUGUCGUCGAUUUCAGCCGAGAGCAGGCUGAAUUGCUGGGGUCUUUCCUAGGCCACCUCAUCAUGUUACAACAGGAGCAGCGGGUUAUUGCGUAUGGUUUCUCUGAGCAUCUGGAACAAUUGAGAAAGCGUGAUGAGGCUGCCACACCUGCAUUUUCUUCCAAUUCUGUUGAUGAUGAUGGAGAUAGGAUCAAGUGUCCUUUAAUCCUUUCCAAGCACACCAUGGACUCCUAUAUAUGGCGACAAAAGCACCAAUUUGAUAGUCUGUAUAUCAUUUUACGUGAAUCGACUUAAUUACUGAAGAAACUCGAGGAUUCCCGUUUUAGGGUUCCCAUAUUUGUUGAGGAGUCCCACAAGAAUCUCAAAAGGAUCAUGCGUUUUACUUCAGAGUUUAAGAAAUCCAAGGAAAAUAAAGAUAUUUUAUAUCAUUUUGGAAAGUAUAUAAAAGGUCUCCAAGAGAAAGGUGUUGGCAAAGGGUCUGUUAUAGAGAAGCUACUUGAUUGUCUUGGUGAUGUAUGUGAGAUUUCGAUGGAAAAGGACAAGUCGUCUUCCCCUGUUGAUGCAUUUAUGAAGGCUGUGGAGGAAACUGCCAAGCUGAUAGAAGAAGCAAGAAAGAAAUUAAAUUCAGAUAGGUUUGCUACUCUUAAUGGAGGCUCGCCUCUUGGAAACAUUACUUUAUGGAGAAUCCUAUUCGAAUCAUCACUGGUUGAUCUUCGGUUAGAUCUGAUAAGUAAGAGGCAUGGUGAAGCAAUCAAACUUGGGGUUAAAGUGGGGGAACACAAAUGUGAUUAUUACGUACAGACAUGUUUGGAUGCGCUUGAUUCAAAGAUUAGUUUGUUAGUGUCAGAUGGGGAUAGGGUUCUGCGUGAAUUUGUAGCCAUGCACAAAACAAUGGCAAAUUACUUACAUGCUAGGCGAUGCUUUUACAACUGGUGGUGCUGGUAUGAGAGAAUUGGAGGCAUCUGAGGAGAGUUCAAGCAAGAAUGACAAAGCAGAAACGAAGAUGGAUUUCAAUCUUGAUUUCCCUUGGGAUAAACACAAUAUCCGUGAUGAAGUUGAGAUUGACUGGGAGGAUCCGGAUAGUUAUCCAUGCUGCGAGUAUGGUCCAGAAGACGACAUUAACUUCUGACUUUACAUUGAUCCGAACCUGUAUUGUGCUUUUUUUUUACUCCUAUUAGGCCAUUAUCUUUUGUAUAAAAGUAGUAAAGUAGUUCUGUUGCUAACUUUUCAUGGUGCGUUAUAAAGUUAAUUUUACGUAUGGGAGUUUGAAUGUUAUGAUUUGAGGUUUUCCGCCUUCUGGCUUGUCUCUGUCUCUUGAGAUGAAAAUUAUUACUAGUUGCACGAGAAAAGGGUUAGUCUCUUCUCUUAUUACUUGCUUCCCCUUGUUUUUAUAGGAAACACUACUUUCCUAAAAUCGAACUUCCAAUAUUAUAUAGCUAACCAAGUUACCCCGUUUAUGGUAAUUAAUUAGGGUUUCUUUUUUCCGAUUGGUUUCCUAGUUUAUUAGUUUGGUUUCUUUUUCUAGUUUUAAUGCUUUUAGAAAAUAUAAAAGCAUGGCAAGGUAGGAAAAGUCUGAAACUCAGUUUUGUGCAGGUUAUUAUUAUUGGUUAAACAAACAACUCUGAUACUGGUGUUUGAGCAACCAUGGGUGUUUCAGAUAUCAAGGAUGAUAAAUGGGUAGAAAGAUACUUCGAUAACUUAACUAUUAAAGUAGUCAAGAAAAGGAACAAGCCACAAGUAGGCAAGGGAAGGAAGGAAGGAACAAAUCUGAUACUGUUGUUCCAGCUACAUGGAUAGGCAGAUACUUCAAUUACAUAAGUUCUAGAGUUGCAUAUGAUGGUUCCCCAAAUCAACUUAUAUAUCCAAGAUCUGAAAUUAAGGAACAACCAAUUGAUUUAGAGUCUUCACUUAAGAUGUUUUUGCAAGAAGCAGCAUGUGAUGCUGAUGACUGGACGGAUGUCCACACGAAGUAUGAUGACAGGAGGUCAUUCCCUGCGUUUCUUAACCUGGAAAGUAUGCCUCCAAUGAGGAUGAUGCCAUCCAUAUUAGGUACCCUCAAGAUAGAUGUUGGCUGUCGUCCCUUAAGGUGUCGCCAGAUGUUGUGGUUGCAAAUGAAUGCUAUGGUGGAAGCUUGUCUUUAAUGAAACUUUUGCAAAGAACUCGUUCAGAAUCUGGCGAUCAUUUCAGGGGAGAGCAGGCUCGGUUGUUGGAUUCUUUCCUCGAUCACCUCAUCAAGAUACAGCAGGAGCAGCGGUUUGUCGCAAAGAGUUUCUCUGAGCAUCUGGAACAAUUGAGAAAAUCUGAUGCAGUUGCAUUAUCAUAUGUUGAUGAUGAUGGAGAUAGGCACAACUUUCCUCUUAUCCGUUCCGAGCACACCAUGGACUCCUAUAUGUGGCAACAAAAGCACGUAUUGGAUAGUCUGUGUAUCAUGUCACGUAAAAUUGGCUUGGUUGUUGAAGCAACUCAAGGAUUCCCCUUUUACUAGUCCCUCAUCCAUCGAGGAGUCCAACAAGAUUCUUGACAUCAUCUUGGUUUUUAUUUCAAAGUUCAAGAAAUCAAAGUUCAAGAUUCGUGUACAUGUCUUUCCGGUUUGUUCUCAUUGAGACCAAUGUUAUUUUUUUUCUUUUUAAUUAUCCAGUUUCUGUUCUAGGAAUCGUUGGAUCAGUAUCUUCUUGAUGAACGUUGCUGCUUUAAUAAUGGUCAACCGACGCAAUAGGUUAUGCAAAAUGAUGAAAUAUUAAAUGAUUUUGGAGGGUGCAUAAAAAACCUCCUGGAACAAGGUGUUGAAAGAAAAUCUCUCGUGGAAAUGCUGCUUGGAUGUUUUGUAGUGUAGUCAAUAUGCACUACAACUCUGCAGAGCGAGUAAAUCCUUUCCGGGAGACCUGUUCUCCCCUUCAUUGUUCGUUUUCUGAGUCUGCAAAGGAAACAUCAGAGCUGACAAAUGAAGCAGUAGAGAAACUAAUUUCAGUCAGGUGUUCUGAUCUUACCGGUGGAGGCUCUCCACUUGGAUGUAUCGCUUUGUGGAGGAUUCUAUUUGAAUCAUCUCUAAUUAAUCUUCGGUUGGAUCUUUUAUGUAAAAAGCACAGUGAAACAGUCAAACUAGGGGUUAAACCGUUAGACGCUGCCACAAACGAUCAAUUGGAUCAAAUUAGGCUGUCGACUAAUAAACUAUUGACAGUUGGGGAAAGCGUCCUGGUUGAAUUUUUAUAGCCAUGCACAAAGCGGUGGCAGAAGUUUCUUAUAUGCUAGGAGAUGCUUUUACAACCGGUGGUGCUGGUAUGAGAGGUUUGAGUGAUGUUAUGCAUCAUCCUGGGACUUCAAGCAACCAUGAUUACCAAGGAAUGGAUUUCAAUCUCAAUGAUUUUCCUUGGGAUAAGCACAAUGUUCCUAGUGCUACGAUUGGUCCUAAAACGAGGAAUUGGCCAAAGUACUACAAAAAUUAUGAGUAGUGUUAUAUUUUUAGCUGUUUUCUCUCUUCAUCUUUUAUACCGAACAAAUCUCUCUAAUUAAAGAUUAAUGGGAGAUUAAUAUCGAAGCAAAGAUCAAUUCACGCC